rnacentral:rRNA from 1 species
GUGGGGAAUUUUGGACAAUGGGCGCAAGCCUGAUCCAGCAAUGCCGCGUGCAGGAUGAAGGCCUUCGGGUUGUAAACUGCUUUUGUACGGAACGAAAAGCCCUGGGUUAAUACCCUGGGGUCAUGACGGUACCGUAAGAAUAAGCACCGGCUAACUACGUGCCAGCAGCCGCGGUAAUACGUAGGGUGCGAGCGUUAAUCGGAAUUACUGGGCGUAAAGCGUGCGCAGGCGGUUUUGUAAGACAGAGGUGAAAUCCCAGGGCUCAACCUGGGAACUGCCUUUGUGACUGCAAGGCUAGAGUACGGCAGAGGGGGAUGGAAUUCCGCGUGUAGCAGUGAAAUGCGUAGAUAUGCGGAGGAACACCGAUGGCGAAGGCAAUCCCCUGGGCCUGUACUGACGCUCAUGCACGAAAGCGUGGGGAGCAAACAGGAUUAGAAACCCGAGUAGUCC